rnacentral:rRNA from 1 species
AUUGAACGCUGGCGGCAGGCUUAACACAUGCAAGUCGAACGGUAACAUAAAGAAGCUUGCUUCUUUGAUGACGAGUGGCGGACGGGUGAGUAAUGCUUGGGAAUCUAGCUUAUGGAGGGGGAUAACUACGGGAAACUGUAGCUAAUACCGCGUAGUAUCGGAAGAUGAAAGUGUGGGACCUUCGGGCCACAUGCCAUAGGAUGAGCCCAAGUGGGAUUAGGUAGUUGGUGAGGUAAAGGCUCACCAAGCCGACGAUCUCUAGCUGGUCUGAGAGGAUGACCAGCCACACUGGGACUGAGACACGGCCCAGACUCCUACGGGAGGCAGCAGUGGGGAAUAUUGCGCAAUGGGGGCAACCCUGACGCAGCCAUGCCGCGUGAAUGAAGAAGGCCUUCGGGUUGUAAAGUUCUUUCGGUAGCGAGGAAGGCAUUUAGUUUAAUAGACUAGGUGAUUGACGUUAACUACAGAAGAAGCACCGGCUAACUCCGUGCCAGCAGCCGCGGUAAUACGGAGGGUGCGAGCGUUAAUCGGAAUAACUGGGCGUAAAGGGCACGCAGGCGGUGACUUAAGUGAGGUGUGAAAGCCCCGGGCUUAACCUGGGAAUUGCAUUUCAUACUGGGUCGCUAGAGUACUUUAGGGAGGGGUAGAAUUCCACGUGUAGCGGUGAAAUGCGUAGAGAUGUGGAGGAAUACCGAAGGCGAAGGCAGCCCCUUGGGAAUGUACUGACGCUCAUGUGCGAAAGCGUGGGGAGCAAACAGG